rnacentral:tRNA from 1 species
GGCCUCGUGGCUCAGCUAGUAGAGCGUGCGCGUAGAAAGCGUGGGUUCGAACCCCAUCGAGGUUA